rnacentral:lncRNA from 1 species
AUUUUAUAACUUAUAUAAAUUAAGUUUCAGAUCUGAUAUGAUGUAUAUGAUGCAUUAAAUCUGAUUAGAUCAAAUGAAGAAUAUGGUUGAUAUGAUCAAUGUUAUGUUCAUGCUUACUUUUGUUUUGACAAAUUAUAUGUAUAGUUAUGAUUUUAUUUGAAAUUAGAUUUUAGAUCUUAAUAGCUUAGUACUCGGAUUGAUGAGAUCACC